rnacentral:tRNA from 1 species
GUCCCUUUAGCUCAGUGGACUAGAGCGAUUGGCUACGAACCAAUAGGCCAGGGGUUCGAAUCCCUCAAGGGACUCCA